AAGGACUUAAGUUAAACAAACUAACAGCCUUCAAAGUUGUAAUUAAAGUAGUACUCUUUAGGCCUUA
rnacentral:tRNA from 1 species